GGGGAAUUUUCCGCAAUGGGCGAAAGCCUGACGGAGCAAUACCGCGUGAGGGAUGACUGCCUAUGGGUUGUAAACCUCUUUUUUCAGGGAGGAAUCAAUGACGUACCUGAAGAAUAAGCAUCGGCUAACUCCGUGCCAGCAGCCGCGGUAAGACGGAGGAUGCAAGUGUUAUCCGGAAUCACUGGGCGUAAAGCGUCUGUAGGUGGUUUAAUAAGUCAACUGUUAAAUCUUGAGGCUCAACCUCGAAAUCGCAGUCGAAACUAUUAGACUAGAGUAUAGUAGGGGUAAAGGGAAUUUCCAGUGGAGCGGUGAAAUGCUAAAGGUCGGAAAGAACACCGAU
rnacentral:rRNA from 1 species